UGCAAAAUGCUUCAAACCUAUUGAAAUUUCAUCCAACCCCUCUCCUCCCGCUUCCCUUUGCUCUGCGAGCUUCCCUCUCUCUCUCGCUCGCCUGCCUUUGCUUGGGAAGCCUCUUAUCCUCUACAAAGCCCUCUGCCUUGAUCUUGCUCCUGUCUAUGUUGCCGUCUUCUCUCACUGUCAAACCUCUUGCCGCCAGACCCACACACGCGGUUCUUUCACAAACCAGUAGUAGCGCAAGGGGAAACUGUUAGCACCAUUGAGAACCAACCUGUCGAGGAUCCCCCAAUUUCCCUAUUUACUUGGACGAUCAAGAAUUUCACAAGGCUUCACAUCAAAAAGGAAUAUUCUGAUAUUUUCACCGCAUAGAGUUACAACUGAUACUAAGAGAUCUUAAUUCCACCAUAUUUUUUCUGUUGAAAAUAUCUAAUUCUGUGCAUAUACAUGCAUAUUCCCUAGUUUUGGUUUUCACAAGUUUCAUCAGAUAUUCUAAAUUGUGAUCAUUGAGUUUCAAUAGUAUGGGAAACUGGGAUUAUUAUUUUGCUGCAUUCUGACUCAUGGCUCAAUGUUGUGAUGCUAUUGUUAUUAACUUAAUCUAUGGGAUUUUGGUUUUGGUCGGUGGGUGCUGAUAUUUCCUGAAGGGAAUAAUGUGGACAACCUAUUGAUGUACUUGGAUGUGGCAGAUUCAGCCACUCUACCUUAUGGGUGGAGUUGUUAUGCACAGUUUUGCUUCGCGGUCAUCAACCAGCUUAAUAAUAAGUACAUGAAAAGAAAAUAUAAUAAUGUUCCUUAAUGACUCUUUCUCCCUAUUACCGAAGCAUUGAAAUUAUAGUUGAAUUUAAAAUUUCCCUACUACUUAAGUUGUUUGUCACCAGCAUCUUCAUGCUUCACUUGGGCUAUCAGAUCAUCCAUAGAGGUAAUUCUCAUAGGGAAUAUGAGACCUAUUUGUACUAUGCUGCACUGGUUGGAUUCUAUUGCAAAAAGGGUAGUUUAACUCAUGCAUGUUCAAAUAUAGCUUAUCCAAGAUGCUCUAGCCUACUUUUGUUUCUGAAAUUUGUUUAAUGGUAUUUGGCAAUGUCACUAUUUAUAUUGUUUGUCACCGGCAUCUUCAUGCUUGACUUGGGAAUUUUAUAUUUUGAGUUAUCACGCCCUCAUAAGCUGCCCCUUUACUGAUUUAGAAUGUUUGUGGUUGUUGGCAAGGUUAGGUAAUAUUUUUUGCAAUGUAUCUUAUCACUUCUACAUUUUUGCCACGAUUGGAUAAAAAAAAAUGGAUUAGGAAGUGUUGGUGAUUUUAGGUGAUUGCCAGUGCAUAUGCCAAUAUAUUAGGUGUGAAUCCAUUCAGAUUCUCUUAGUAUGGGUUGGAGGUUUCAGGAAUGUAUUAUGACAAUCAUUUGACAUAUAUUGAACAAAUAAGUACAUUGUGUGCAUUUUUUCUUAGUACAAUAUGGAAGCAUUUUUUUUCCAUUGAAUGGACUUGUCUCUUUAAGAGAUUAUUUAUUAAUUAUCACAUGUGGCAGAAGUAAAACUAGAUCUGCAUCUUGUAAUGCUUAAAAGAAGUGCUAAUGUUUCUUAUUAAUGUUGUUUAAUCAAACUCUGUGGCUAAUGCUUUGGCAAAGGGUGGUUCUUCUUUACCCUCUCUUGUCAUUUCUAAUGAUGGAUUGAAUUGUUGAAAGGCAUGACUAUCAACAAUUCUAGCGAAAUCUGGUCUAAAUAUUUCCUUGAGAAAUGGCUCGGCUUCUUUCCCGAAGGCCAUACGAUGGAAAAUUCAAAUAUUCUGAUCAACAUAGAGUUCAAAGAGGAAGCAUAUGUCAAAGUACGGCCCGAUUCGAUUGAACGCACGAGGGUGGGGGAAGAACUGGUAUGGUUAAAAGAAUGCACCAUACACACAUCUUUUGAUGAGCGACAAACCAUAGAUGACUUGGGUCGCAUCAUCUCCAACAGAUUCAGGGACAUACAUGAGUCCUCGUGCUUCCUCGGAGACAUAAUCCCGCUGCUUCGGACUCUUAUUUAGGAGGAAUUAGAGGGCAUUACGUGAGAUCUUCUUCCCCGUUUAAAUGUAAGUAAGGUGUACCUGGUGGUGAGGGUUCAACAAGAGUUUUCAAACAAGUACAUCGAUGAGAGUAGUGUUCAAGAUGUUCAAGAAUAUCGAUGCUGCUCGAUUGCAUUAUCCAAACAAUCAAGCACCUAAACAAGAUCGAGAUAGAGGAUGGAGAGCAAGAAGAUUGCAGUGUGUCUUUGUGGAUUUGUUCCCAGCAUAGAGACAUGGGUGAUGCCAUGUAAUCACAAAUUCCAUAGCAACUGUAUCUUGAAGCGGCUGGUAGACUACAACAGAUCGUGCCCACUGUGCCGAUGCCAACUAUGAGAUUCUCCUAACGCUAUUAUUAGGUGUAAAAGAGUGGAGCUUUCUCCUUAUUUUUUUAUUUUUUUCAUGAAAUGGGUAAACGGUGGUGCAGAUCAAGAAUCAUUAAUGCUUACUAGGUUUUCAUUCAUCUUAUCUGUAGCCAUACUUUAUCAAUUUCACUUUGUUAUGAAUGAAAACUUCAACAUUCCUUGUGCUAAAAAAAAA